AUUGAACGCUGGCGGCAGGCCUAACACAUGCAAGUCGAGCGUGCAGCGGACGGGUGAGUAAGGUAUGGUGAUCUGCCCGUUAGCGAGGGAUAACUAGUGGAAACGGUUGCUAAUACGGCAUUCUGUCGGAUGCACGCAUUUGGGAUUAGCUAGUAGGUAAGGUAAUGGCUUACCUAGGCGACGAUCCCUAGCUGGUCUGAGAGGAUGAUCAGCCACACUGGGACUGAGACACGGCCCAGACUCCUACGGGAGGUAGCAGUGGGGAAUAUUUCACAAUGGGCGCAAGCCUGAUGCAGCCAUGCCGCGUGUAUGAAGAAGGCCCUAGGGUCGUAAAGUACUGUCAGUCGGGAGGCGGUACCGACAGAAGAAGCACCGGCUAACUCCGUGCCAGCAGCCGCGGUAAUUC
rnacentral:rRNA from 1 species